GCAGGGGGUUAAAGUCCAAAUGACUUCUGGGACUUAAAAUCCUGCGGUACGUGAGUACCGUACGGGUUCGACCCCCGUCCUCGGCA
rnacentral:tRNA from 3 species